UGCGUCAGAUAUUUUGUUAAAUAUUUUUAUGUCGAUUUUAUUUCUUCAACCAGUAGUGAAAUAAUUGCCGACUAUCAUUAUAAGUCACCUGCAGGAUGGUUUGUUUGAGGAUGCGAUAUUUUAAACAGGGGGAGGGGGUGGGUCAGUUUGUGCGAUGUAAAACAGGUUUUUGAUAGGUUUCGACAUUAGUCCCGACCACAACGGUGUCGAGUACUUCCGCCAACAUAUGCACAACACAACUUACUACUACGGAGAUAGAUAGCUCUACUACUACGGAUACGCCUACGCCUACGCCUACGCCUACGCCUACUCCUACGACUAAAACGCCGCCAGAAGAGGUACCGGUUUCAGAAACUCUUAAUGAAAUCCAGAAAGUAGAUGAGAAACUUAGGAGUAAUGGGAAGUCUGCUACAGAAGAAACAGAUCGUUAUCAUGCAAGUUAUGUAACAUUUGAAGAUAAUUUUACUGGUAAAUAUGAUCAGGAAAUUACGCCUAAUGAUGCAGGCGAAAGUGUUGCUAUUACCAUCGGUCUGACAGAAACGGAAAAUGUGUCUUUCUUCACAUGUUUUACGUAUAAGGAAGCGAUAUCAUUUGAACAGCAAAAUUUUACUGAUUUUGGUGAUAAUGUUAAGAAAACACAAAAUAUUACGUACAGAUUUACAAGUGGACUACUAACGAUAAAUGCCUACGUUGGUGGGGAGAGCAUUCGUGCCGACGUUACUUAUAACUUUUCAUCUACGG